UUGAACCUACGGGGCGCAGCAGUGAGGAAUAUUGGUCAAUGGGCGGGAGCCUGAACCAGCCACGUCGCGUGAGGGAAGACGGUCCUAUGGAUUGUAAACCUCUUUAGGCGGGGAGCAAUGCCGGGCACGCGUGUCCGGAGGGAGAGUACCCGCAGAAUAAGCAUCGGCUAACUCCGUGCCAGCAGCCGCGGUAAUACGGAGGAUGCGAGCGUUAUCCGGAUUUAUUGGGUUUAAAGGGUGCGCAGGCGGCUUUUUAAGUCAGCGGUCAAAUCGUGGGGCUCAACCCCAUCCAGCCGUUGAAACUG
rnacentral:rRNA from 1 species